rnacentral:lncRNA from 1 species
UCGUCCGUCUGUCCCGCUUCAGGUUAAAGUUUUUGGUCAAGGUAGUUUUUGAUGAAGUUGAAGUCCAAUCGACUUUAAACUUGGUACACAUGUUCCCUAUGAUAUGAUCUUUCUAAUUUUAAUGCCAAAUUAGAGUUUUUACCCCAAUGUCAUGGUCCACUGAACAUGGAAAAUGAUAGUGCGAGUGGGGCAUUCGUGUACUGGGGACACAUUCUUGUUUAU